rnacentral:rRNA from 1 species
UACGAAGGGGGCUAGCGUUGUUCGGAAUUACUGGGCGUAAGGGGCGCGUAGGCGGUACUUCAAGUCAGGCGUGAAAGCCCCGGGCUCAACCUGGGAACCGCGCUUGAGACUGGAGAACUAGAGUUCGGGAGAGGAUGGUGGAAUUCCCAGUGUAGAGGUGAAAUUCGUAGAUAUUGGGAAGAACACCGAUGGCGAAGGCAGCCAUCUGGACCGACACUGACGCUGAGGCGCGAAAGCGUGGGGAGCAAACAGG